UACGGAGGAUGCAAGCGUUAUCCGGAUUUAUUGGGUUUAAAGGGUGCGUAGGCGGAUGCCUAAGCGUGAGGUGAAACCCCGGUGCUCAACACCGGAACUGCCUCGCGAACUGGGUGUCUGGAAUGCCCCUGCCGUGGGAGGAAUGUGUGGUGUAGCGGUGAAAUGCAUAGAGAUCACACAGAACACCGAUUGCGAAGGCAUCUCACGAAGGGGUGAUUGACGCUGAGGCACGAAAGCGUGGGGAU
rnacentral:rRNA from 1 species